rnacentral:rRNA from 1 species
UACGGAGGAUGCGAGCGUUAUCCGGAUUUAUUGGGUUUAAAGGGAGCGCGGACGGGAGAUUAAGUCAGCUGUUAAAUGUCGACGCCCAACGUCGUCCUGCGGUUGAUACUGGUUUCCUUGAGUGCGGCAUGGGCAGGCGGAAUUCACGGUGUAGCGGUGAAAUGCUUAGAUAUCGUGAAGAACUCCGAUCGCGAAGGCAGCUUGCCGGACCGUUACUGACGUUUAGGCUCGAAAGUGCGGGUAUC